GACGAACGCUGGCGGCGUGCUUAACACAUGCAAGUCGAACGGAAAGGCCCUGCUUUUGUGGGGUGCUCGAGUGGCGAACGGGUGAGUAACACGUGAGUAACCUGCCCUUGACUUUGGGAUAACUUCAGGAAACUGGGGCUAAUACCGGAUAGGAGCUCCUGCUGCAUGGUGGGGGUUGGAAAGUUUCGGCGGUUGGGGAUGGACUCGCGGCUUAUCAGCUUGUUGGUGGGGUAGUGGCUUACCAAGGCUUUGACGGGUAGCCGGCCUGAGAGGGUGACCGGCAACAUUGGGACUGAGAGACGGCACAGAGGCCUACGGGAGGCAGCAGUGGGGAAUAUUGCACAAUGGGCGGAAGCCGGAUGCAGCAACGCCGCGUGCGGGAUGACGGCCUUCGGGUUGUAAACCGCUUUCGCCUGUGACGAAGCGUGAGUGACGGUAAUGGGUAAAGAAGCACCGGCUAACUACGUG
rnacentral:rRNA from 1 species